UACGGAGGGUGCGAGCGUUGUCCGGAAUCACUGGGCGUAAAGGGCGCGUAGGUGGCGCGGCAAGUCAACGGUGAAAGCUCGACGCUCAACGUCGAGUCGGCCGUCGAUACUGCUGGGCUUGAGCACUGUAGAGGCAGAUGGAAUUCCGGGUGUAGCGGUGGAAUGCGUAGAGAUCCGGAAGAACACCGGUGGCGAAGGCGGUCUGCUGGGCAGUUGCUGACACUGAGGCGCGACAGCGUGGGGAGCAAACAGG
rnacentral:rRNA from 1 species